rnacentral:rRNA from 1 species
UCAGGACGGACGCUGGCGGCGUGCUUAACACAUGCAAGUCGAACGGAAAGGCCUAGCUUGCUAGGUACUCGAGUGGCGAACGGGUGAGUAACACGUGGGUGAUCUGCCUCGUACUUCGGGAUAAGCCUGGGAAACUGGGUCUAAUACUGGAUAGGACCAUGCUUUAGUGUGUGUGGUGGAAAGUUUUUCGGUACGAGAUGAGCCCGCGGCCUAUCAGCUUGUUGGUGGGGUAAUGGCCUACCAAGGCGUCGACGGGUAGCCGGCCUGAGAGGGUGGACGGCCACAUUGGGACUGAGAUACGGCCCAGACUCCUACGGGAGGCAGCAGUGGGGAAUAUUGCACAAUGGGCGCAAGCCUGAUGCAGCGACGCCGCGUGGGGGAUGACGGCCUUCGGGUUGUAAACCUCUUUCGCUAGGGACGAAGCUUUUGUGACGGUACCUAGAUAAGAAGCACCGGCUAACUACGUGCCAGCAGCCGCGGUAAUACGUAGGGUGCGAGCGUUGUCCGGAAUUACUGGGCGUAAAGAGCUCGUAGGUGGUUUGUCGCGUCGUCUGUGAAAU